rnacentral:rRNA from 1 species
UACGGGGGGUGCGAGCGUUGUCCGGAGUUACUGGGCGUAAAGCGCACGCAGGCGGUCUGUGAAGUUUGGAGUGACAGUUGGUGGCUCAACCACCAAAGUGCUUUGAAAACUGAUAGACUUGAGGGCUUCAGAGGGACACGGAAUUCCGGGUGGAGUGGUGAAAUGCGUAGAAAUCCGGAGGAACACCAAAGGCGAAGGCAGUGUCCUGGGGAGUACCUGACGCUCAGGUGCGAAAGCCAGGGGAGCGAACGGG